GGUGGGGUGGGGGGCUGUUCCAGAUGAUACAAUUCAGAAGCUUCUCAGCACCCUUCCUGGCCAUGAGGACUGCUGUCCCUUCAGUGAGGAUCCAGAGCAGCUGAUCCCCAGGGAGAGGAAAAAUCAGGAGGUUAGGGAAGUCUGUAGGGUUUUCGACUCUUUUGCCUGCAGAGGAGAAGCAGGCUGAUCGAAUGCAAAGAGCACGGGACUGGGAGUCAGAAGACCUGGGCUCUAACACUGGCUCUGCCACUCAUCUGCUGGGUGAU